UACAGAGGUCUCAAGCGUUGUUCGGAUUCAUUGGGCGUAAAGGGUGCGUAGGCGGCGCGGUAAGUCGGGUGUGAAAUCUUGGAGCUUAACUCCGAAACUGCAUUCGAUACUGCCGUGCUUGAGGACUGGAGAGGAGAGUGGAAUUCCUGGUGUAGCGGUGAAAUGCGCAGAUAUCAGGAAGAACACCCGUGGCGAAGGCGGCUCUCUGGGACGGUACUGACGCUGAGACGCGAAAGCGUGGGGGAGCGAACAGG
rnacentral:rRNA from 1 species